UACGAAGGGGGCUAGCGUUGUUCGGAAUUACUGGGCGUAAAGCGCACGUAGGCGGAUUUGUAAGUCAGGGGUGAAAUCCCGGAGCUCAACUUCGGAACUGCCUUUGAUACUGCAAGUCUCGAGUCCGGAAGAGGUGAGUGGAACUCCUAGUGUAGAGGUGAAAUUCGUAGAUAUUAGGAAGAACACCAGUGGCGAAGGCGGCUCACUGGUCCGGUACUGACGCUGAGGUGCGAAAGCGUGGGGAGCAAACAGG
rnacentral:rRNA from 1 species